rnacentral:tRNA from 1 species
GGCUCGUUGGUCUAGGGGUAUGAUUCUCGCUUAGGGUGCGAGGUCCCGGGUUCAAAUCCAGGACGAGUCC